rnacentral:lncRNA from 1 species
GUUUGACACUAAGAAAAAGAAAGGCCCCUCUCCUGCACAAAUGUGGAGGAAAAAUGAAGGCAAAGCAAAAUAACAGGCAAGUCUGAAAACAAAAGUGUUGCCAGUCACGCUAAGCCUCAGGCACGCAUUCUGAAUGAAGCUAAAGUUUAAAGUCCCCUCUGAUAGAUUUGUGACUUAAAUGUCCACACUAGCAAGUGUGUUUCUCACAUGGAGAAGUAGCACGAUUUUAUGUCAGGAAAGGGAUGAGAACAUGCUUCUUGAACACAUACAAUGCUGAAGACAUUUCCUGGAAAACCAUUGGCCUUUGCUUAGGACAGUUGCAUCACACAGAGAUGUUUGUGGUUCAG